rnacentral:tRNA from 1 species
GUGGGUGUAGCUCAGCGGUUAGAGCACUGGGCUGUGGCCCCAGGAGUCGUGGGUUCGAAUCCCACUACCCACCCCA